AGAAUUAAGAAGACUUGGUUA
rnacentral:misc_RNA from 1 species